rnacentral:misc_RNA from 1 species
CCGAGUUUACAACUCCCAAACCCCUGUGAACAUACCUAUCUGUUGCUUCGGCGGAUCCCAGUUGACGCAUCCGGUAACCAGGGACGGCCCGCCAGAGGACCCUAAACUCUUGUUUCUAUUAUGUAAUCUUCUGAGUAAACAUCAAAUAAAUUA